UACGUAGGGAGCAAGCGUUGUCCGGAUUCACUGGGUGUAAAGGGUGCGUAGGCGGGAGAAUAAGUCAGCGGUGAAAUCUUACGGCUCAACCGUGAAACUGCCGUUGAUACUGUUUUUCUUGAGUUCGGGAGAGGUUGAUGGAAUUCCAGGUGUAGCGGUGAAAUGCGUAGAUAUCUGGAGGAAUACCGGUGGCGAAGGCGGCAUCCUGGACCAUUUACUGACGCUGAGGCGCGAAAGCUAGGGGAGCAAACGGG
rnacentral:rRNA from 1 species